CACGGGGGGAGCAAGCGUUGUUCGGAAUCACUGGGCGUAAAGGGCGUGUAGGCGGUCAGACAAGUGGAAUGUGAAAUGCCCCGGCUCACCCGGGGACCGGCAUCCCAAACUGUUUGACUUGAGUAUGGGAGAGGAUGAGGGAAUUCCUGGUGUAGCGGUGAAAUGCGUAGAUAUCAGGAGGAACACCGGUGGCGAAGGCGCUCAUCUGGCCCAAUACUGACGCUGAUGCGCGACAGCGUGGGGAGCAAACAGG
rnacentral:rRNA from 1 species